rnacentral:rRNA from 1 species
CCUACGGGUGGCAGCAGUCGAGAAUCAUUCACAAUGGGGGAAACCCUGAUGGUGCGACGCCGCGUGGGGGAAUGAAGGUCUUCGGAUUGUAAACCCCUGUCAUGUGGGAGCAAAUUAAAAAGAUAGUACCACAAGAGGAAGAGACGGCUAACUCUGUGCCAGCAGCCGCGGUAAUACAGAGGUCUCAAGCGUUGUUCGGAAUCACUGGGCGUAAGGCGUGCGUAGGCUGUUUCGUAAGUCGUGUGUGAAAGGCGCGGGCUCAACCCGCGGACGGCACAUGAUACUGCGAGACUAGAGUAAUGGAGGGGGAACCGGAAUUCUCGGUGUAGCAGUGAAAUGCGUAGAUAUCGAGAGGAACACUCGUGGCGAAGGCGGGUUCCUGGACAUAAACUGACGCUGAGACACGAAGGCCAGGGGAGCGAAAGGGAUUAGAUACCCGAGUAGUC